GGUCCUGUGGUCUAGUGGUAUGAUUCUCGCUUUGGGUGCGAGAGGCCCCGUGUUCGAAUCACGGCAGGACCC
rnacentral:tRNA from 5 species